rnacentral:rRNA from 1 species
GAUGAACGCUGGCGGCGUGCCUAAUACAUGCAAGUCGAGCGAACGGACGAGAAGCUUGCUUCUCUGAUGUUAGCGGCGGACGGGUGAGUAACACGUGGAUAACCUACCUAUAAGACUGGGAUAACUUCGGGAAACCGGAGCUAAUACCGGAUGAUAUUUUGAACCGCAUGGUUCAAAAGUGAAAGACGGUCUUGCUGUCACUUAUAGAUGGAUCCGCGCUGCAUUAGCAAGUUGGUAAGGUAACGGCUUACCAAGGCAACGAUGCAUAGCCGACCUGAGAGGGUGAUCGGCCACACUGGAACUGAGACACGGUCCAGACUCCUACGGGAGGCAGCAGUAGGGAAUCUUCCGCAAUGGGCGAAAGCCUGACGGAGCAACGCCGCGUGAGUGAUGAAGGUCUUCGGAUCGUAAAACUCUGUUAUUAGGGAAGAACAUAUGUGUAAGUAACUGUGCACAUCUUGACGGUACCUAAUCAGAAAGCCACGGCUAACUACGUG